CCUACGGGUGGCUGCAGUGGGGAAUAUUGGACAAUGGGGGGAACCCUGAUCCAGCCAUGCCGCGUGUGUGAAGAAGGCCCUCGGGUUGUAAAGCACUUUCAGUGAGGAAGAACGCCUGGUGGUUAAUACCCAUCAGGAAAGACAUCACUCACAGAAGAAGCACCGGCUAACUCCGUGCCAGCAGCCGCGGUAAUACGGAGGGUGCGAGCGUUAAUCGGAAUUACUGGGCGUAAAGCGCGCGUAGGUGGCUUGAUAAGCCGGUUGUGAAAGCCCCGGGCUCAACCUGGGAACGGCAUCCGGAACUGUCAAGCUAGAGUGCAGGAGAGGAAGGUAGAAUUCCCGGUGUAGCGGCGAAAUGCGUAGAGAUCGGGAGGAAUACCAGUGGCGAAGGCGGCCUUCUGGACUGACACUGACACUGAGGUGCGAAAGCGUGGGUAGCAAACAGGAUUAGAUACCCCGGUAGUC
rnacentral:rRNA from 1 species